ACGGGUGAGUAACGCGUGGGUAACCUACCCUGUACACACGGAUAACAUACCGAAAGGUAUGCUAAUACGGGAUAAUAUAUUUGAGAGGCAUCUCUUAAAUAUCAAAGGUGAGCCAGUACAGGAUGGACUCGCGUCUGAUUAGCUAGUUGGUAAGGUAACGGCUUACCAAGGCGACGAUCAGUAGCCGACCUGAGAGGGUGAUCGGCCACAUUGGAACUGAGACACGGUCCAAACUCCUACGGGAGGCAGCAGUGGGGAAUAUUGCACAAUGGGCGAAAGCCUGAUGCGGCAACGCCGCGUGAGUGAUGAAGGCCUUCGGGUCGUAAAACUCUGUCCUCAAGGAAGAUAAUGACGGUACUUGAGGAGGAAGCCCCGGCUAACUACGUGCCAGCAGCCGCGGUAAUACGUAGGGGGCUAGCGUUAUCCGGAUUUACUGGGCGUAAAGGGUGCGUAGGCGGUCUUUCAAGUCAGGAGUGAAAGGCUACGGCUCAACCGUAGUAAGCUCUUGAAACUGGGAGACUUGAGUGCAGGAGUGGAAAGUGGAAUUCCUAGUGUAGCGGUGAAAUGCGCAGAUAUUAGGAGGAACACCAGUUGCGAAGGCGGCUCUCUGGACUGUAACUGACGCUGAGGCACGAAAGCGUGGGGAGCAAACAGGAUUAGAUACCCUGGUAGUCCACGCUGUAAACGAUGAGUACUAGGUGUCGGGGGUUACCCCCCUCGGUGCCGCAGCUAACG
rnacentral:rRNA from 1 species